GGGGGAGGAGAGGACAGGGGGGCGAGGGAGCCUUUCCAUGGGAAUCCGGGGCUGGAUCCUCGCCCUGCGCCCGCUGUCCCCGUCCCGCUGCUCCCAUCCCGGCCUUGCUUCCCACAAAGCCCAGAAGUUGCUGCCUGAGCGGGGAAGGAAAGGGACAUCAAACAUUUAUAGGCCUUGGGAAUCGUCAGGGAAAUGUCUGGUUCUGUUAAAACAGCAGCAGCAGCAGCAGCGGUUGGGGAAGAGGGAAAAAUAAAAAAAGCCCAACUCAACGGGGCUCUUGCGUUUUCCCAAUGUUAUCCCAGUGUUAUCCCAGUGUUGUUAUCCCAGCGUUAUCCCUGCGUUAUCCCGGAGUCAUCCCAGCGUUAUCCCAGCGUUAUCCCAGGGUUAUCCCAGAGUUAUUCCAAUGUUAUCCCAGCGUUAUCCCAGCGUUUUCCCAACGUUAUCUCAGUGUUAUCCCAGCAUUAUCCCUGCGUUAUCCCAGAGUCAUCCCAGCGUUUUCCCAAUGUUAUCUCAGUGUUAUCCCAGCAUUAUCCCGGCGUUUUCCCAACGUUAUCCCAGUGUUUUCCCAGUGUUGUUAUCCCAGCUUUAUCAGAGUUAUCCCAGCGUUUUCCCAGUGUUUUCCCAAUGUUAUCUCAGUGUUAUCCCAGCGUUAUCCCAGGGUUAUCCCAGGGUUAUCCCAGCGUUAUCCCAGAGUUAUUCCAAUGUUAUCCCAGCAUUAUCCCAGAGUUUUCCCAGAGUUAUCCCAGAGUUGUCCCAGAGUAAUCCCAGCGUUUUCCCAGCAUUAUCCCAGCGUUGUUAUCCCAGCGUUAUCCCAGUGUUAUCCCAGUGUUAUCCCAGCGUUGUUAUCCCAGUGUUAUCCCAGCGUUAUCCCAGCGUUAUCCCAGUGUUAUCCCAGCGUUUUCCCAGUGUUUUCCCAGCGUUAUCCCAUCCUCAGCCGGGGUCACAGCUCCGGGUUGGGCUCCCCAAGCUCUGAACCCGAGCUCGUGGCUCUCCGGACACAUCCCAGCCCCAGCCCUGGCCUAAACCCAAAGGGCAGC
rnacentral:lncRNA from 1 species